ensembl:lncRNA
GUUUCCCAGCUUGGCAGGAAAAGAUCUGAUCCGGACUUUUGGUGUUUCCUCUGGUCUGGUUGAGUGUGCCGGACCCCACCUCCAGUUCCACCCACCGCUAAGCAACACAAACACACCACCAGUCCUCAUUUUCUGGAUCUGCUCUUUGUUAACAGAGCCUUUUCCCUCCUCUGCUUUUAUUCCAGGAGAGGGAGAGAGUGAGUGAGCGAGAGAAAAAGAGAGGGAGAGAGGGUGAGUUUAUCUUCUCCUUUUAAAGGAUUCGUUUCUGACUGAAUCUGGAUCUGGUUUGUUUUCCUUGCUCGGGGCUGCCGCCACCACUGCAGGAACAGAGCUGGUGCCCCUACUGAUGUAUUUAAAAACGGUUUAAACGUCAGGAACGGUUCAAGGUUUUAUCCACCAACCACCACCCGGCCUGUCAGUCAUUUUUUUCGCCACUGCAGUUUUCAAGUUGGAGCUCUGCUGGGAAAUGGACAAACCCCUCUAAACUAAAGACGCUUCCCAACCGUUCCGACUCAGCCACAGGACGUGAUUUGGACGAAGAUCCACGGAGUGGAGAUUGCUGUAAAUCAGCGCUUCUCCACCAAGUGGACGGAAAAGAGGAGCUGGUGCUUCAUUCUGCGUCUGUGUAGUUGUUGAAGUACCAAGUAAAACUGCCAUACAUGUUGUUGUGUGGUACAUGCUGUCUCACUGUGUGUAUUCAGCUCUGCUUUCAAAAUGGUGACUCGAUAAAAAGCCCUCGCCCUAAGAUUCUACAUGUACUGUUUUUACUUAUUAAAUUGCAGCACUGCAUAGGAAGCGUCUGUUUGUUGCAGUCUCAUCUGAUUCUGUUUUCAGUCUGUAGACACUGGCUUAGCAGCCAUUUUUGCAGUAAAAGUGAAAAACAAUUGUGGCUCUUACUUCACUUAAAUGCAAGCUGUUCCUUGGCUGCUGUGGGCAUUAAAACAAGAGGCGUGACGCAGAUGUACAUCGAGACAUUCGUGCUGGUUUUUAUCCAUAUGCCUUUUUCGUUGCAAGUGUUGACAUCUCAGGCUGACCUGCUACACUGACAAUGAGACUGCAAACAAGUGUGUUGUUGUGAUCUCACUGAGUCAGACCUUCAGACCCCAGAUGGAGUCUAAACCAUCUGGGACUUGAUUUACAGAUCGAUGUGAUCUGAGUCACCCCGAGGCAAAACCGCUUCCUCCCUUACUGCCGAACUUUGAACCGCUGGGUGUUCAUUCUUCUGUAUGUUAAAGUUGCUGUUUGUGCUGAAAAUACUUUUUAAAAAUGUAUUGCCUUUUUUAUUACAUUUUCUUAGCGGAGCUCCGCUUCCUUUCAGCUUCCUUUCAAGUAUUAAAAUAAUACAAAUAUAUAUCUCAUCUCAUCUUUUGACUCGGUUUGGAAAUUAUUUGAACAAACUAACUCUUUUAUUGCUUUCAGGUUGUUUUUAUCUUGGAGCUUUUAUUUUCUUGUCUGACAUUUUAUAGUGUUUAGACUUUUUAUUGUAAAAUGUAAUUUCAGCUUUUUACCAUUGACACUGGUACGAAGUUUGUGAUGAUCUGUUCUUCAAAAGAAAGGCUCUUUUAUGGGUAAAAUCCAUUAUCGUGUGUGUGUGUGUGUGUGUGUUUUAUAUAAUGACAAUUGGUUGAUUCCAAAACAACUAUCAAUCUAAAGACAUCAACUCUGGGAUAUUAUCAUUGUCAUUUUUCUCAUUUUUGAUACAGGAAAUCAUUCUGUCACAUUAAAGUACUUUACUGCACAUAAAUUAAGAAAAUGCAAUAAUUUACAUAUUGCUGUUUUGCUGUUACAAGGAGACAUAUAAAGGCAUCAGUCUAUUGUUAAAAAAAAAAAAAAAAAAAAGUAUAGCAACAUCUUCAAAGGUGGACAUGUUUAUACUGUCACUGUCAUGACACCAUCCACCUCACAACCUGUGGAGAUUCAUGCUCAUGUAGCAGUCGGUAUCAUCCAUGCCUGUUGCAUCCAAAAACACCAUCCAUUACACUUGUAUGGACGUGGUUUUAAGAUUUAGUGAAAUGUGGAAACCCCUCUGCAGGCGGAGUCCCUGCCUGUAAGACAGACCCUGCAGCGCUCACUUUGUCUCUUAUGUAAGUUCACAUCAAAAAUUAAUGAAUGCAGUGCAGCUUUGAGAAGCUCAGGCCUAUAUUUAAGAUAUGCAUGCUCUCUGCUCUGCAGAGCCUCAGUGAUUGUGGUUAUAAUAGAGCCAUUGGCCUUUAUCAUUUUUUCAUAUCCCUGCUGGCAAAAAAAAGAGGUCAUCCCACUGUAAUAAAGAACUGCUGAACUAUGACUGCAUGCUAUCCAUUUUAUUCAAUUGUAAAAUAUUUAAGCAGGAAAUCCUCACUCAGGCAGCAGUACCCAUGAGCUGCAGAUACAAAAUACGCCACGAAUUGGAGGUUAACAAACUGAAAUUAUGAAUAACAUGAGAGCUGAAGCCCUUGAAAAGGGCUCAAAUGUUCUUUUUUUGUUUCUAGUGUGUCUCACAAAGGGAGUCUUUGUGGUUGACUUGCAUGCUCAUGGUUGGGGUUAGUGUAAUAUUUGCAUUAGCUCACAUUUUUAUUUGAAAUUGAAUCAAAUAACAAGAUACACUCAAAUGUACCAAAAAGUGCAUUUCAUCUCAUGAACUCUUGAGGCUGGUUCCAAAAGUGAUUCAAUCCCCAUAGACUCCUGUGUUUCCCAGCUUUGAAAAGAACAUGUUGAUGAAUUCAUUAAACUGAAUUUCAACACCAAGUUUAUUAGGGUUGCCACGAUUAGUCGACUAGUCACGAUUACGUCGACUAUCAAAAUCGUCGAUCACAAAUUUAAUAGUCGACGCCUCAUUUAAAGCCUUGUGAGAUCCUGAAAGACAGGAAUAAGUAGUAGGAUUUCAGAGUGUAAUAACGGACUGAAAAAGAAGAUGGCAGCACUGACUGCACAAGGAUGCCAGCUGCCGUUAAACCCCGAAGAAGAAGAAGCAACUCCGGUAUCGUAGCUGUGUCCAAAUUCAGGAACCGCAUCCUUCGGAGGCAGCAUUUGAAGCCUGUCCAAAUUCGAAGACUUCUGCAAAUGCAGCCGACAAACGCAUCCUACUUUUCCCCUGAUUUGAAGGAUGGGUCGGGCGUAUGACCAAACCUAUCCCAGAAUUCAUUGCACAGCUCAGCCAAUUCCUGUUUCCAACAAUGGCGGUAGCUACUUAGUUUUAAUAUUACUUUUAUUACUCUUUCUAGGUCACAAAAUAAACUUUUAACAUGUUUUCAGGAAAUAAUGUAGCUGUGUAAAGUUCAAAUAUCUGUUCGGUUCGGUCACAUAUUUGUAAAAGUGCUGCGACGUAUUCGGAGACAUAUGUUAGGAUAGCUAGCCGGGG